UGUGAACAACCUGGUGCUGUUGGAGAUGUGCUGGUGGUUGUAAACCAGAGCAGCGUGUUAAGAGCACCAUCAACACCCUUAAAUAACACUUUGUUCUUCAAGAGGAGACUGAGGACAACGCAGACAGAACAGAUGUGGAGGUUUAUUCAUUUAGGUGAAGUCAUCAUGGGACAUUGUUUGUUGGUCUUGUACCCUGGACAGGAUAUCAUCAUAUACUGUAAGUUCGUUAUGGUGACACUACAGUAUAGAUGAUGUACUAUCCAGGGUCUCAUUCCCCCUUCUAGCCACUAUCAGCACCCACACACACUGUUGAUGGUUGGAAGCUAGAAGGGUGACGAUCAACCGUUACAUUACUGAGUUUUAGCAAUGGUAAAGGUUCUAUUGACACCUCUCAAUGUCAUAGCUACAGUAGAGUAAACACACGAACGGAUGGACAGACGCGGUUGGAAGCUAGAGGGUGGCGAUCAAACCGUUACCAUUACGGAGUUUUAGCAAUGGUAAGGUUCUAUUGACACCUCUCAAUGUAUAGCUACAGUAGUAAACACACGAACGGAUGGACAGACGCGAGUUGGAAGCUAGAGGGUGGCGAUCAAACCGUUACCAUUACUGAUUUUAGCAAUGGUAAAGGUUCUAUUGACACCUCUCAAUGUAAUAGCUACAGUAGUAAACACACGAACGGAUGGACAGACGCGGUUGGAAGCUAGAGGGUGGCGAUCAAACCGUUACCAUUAUGAUUUUAGCAAUGGUAAAGGUUCUAUUGCUGCUCUCAAUGUCAUUGGAGUUGCGAUAAAGGAAACUAAAAACGGGUGGACUGGACUUUUCUUCCCUGCAACAAGGAGCAUUUGUUUACAACAAAUUAGUAAUACCAAGAACCAGAAUUGUAUAUAAGAACUGAUUUAGAUAUUUUAAUUGUAAGGUGUUUGUUGACUUGUGAAAUAAAUGUUUUAAUUCAAAACCAAAUUAC